AAUCAACGCUGGCGGCGUGCCUCAGACAUGCAAGUCGAACGAUUAAACUUUCCUUCGGGAAGACAUAGAGUGGCGCACGGGUGAGUAACACGUAAGUAAUCUACCCUUGGGUGGGGAAUAACAUCGGGAAACCGAUGCUAAUACCGCAUAAUGCAGCGGCUUCUUAUGAAGACAGUUGUUAAAGCAUUUAUGUGCCUGAGGAGGAGCUUGCGGCAGAUUAGCUAGUUGGUAAGGUAAUGGCUUACCAAGGCGACGAUCUGUAGCCGACCUGAGAGGGUGGUCGGUCACACUGACACUGAAUAACGGGUCAGACUCCUACGGGAGGCAGCAGUCGGGAAUUUUGGGCAAUGGGCGCAAGCCUGACCCAGCAACGCCGCGUGAAGGAUGAAGUAUUUCGGUAUGUAAACUUCGUAAAAUAGGAAGAAUAAAUGACGGUACUAUUUGUAAGGUCCGGCUAACUACGUGCCAGCCGCCGCUGUAAU
rnacentral:rRNA from 1 species